GAGGGAUCUGAUGCUGUAGUGAUCUGCCUUGCUGUAGCGUUAACAGUGUGUGUGGUGGUGAUUUUUGCUCAACUCAACAUUUUAAUGUGUAAAAAACAAAAGAUGGAAAAACACAGAGUGAGACUUCUACAAGGUUCACUGAAGGAGGAAACACACAAUGAGGGCCGUGAUGCUGAGGAGCUGAAUUACGCUGCCCUGAAUUUCACCAAGAGGAAAAUUAAAAGUGGAAGAAUAAAAAAAGGACAAAAUCAAGACACGGU